UACGUAGGGUGCAAGCGUUGUCCGGAAUUAUUGGGCGUAAAGAGCUCGUAGGCGGUUUGUCGCGUCUGCUGUGAAAACCCGAGGCUCAACCUCGGGCCUGCAGUGGGUACGGGCAGACUAGAGUGCGGUAGGGGAGAUUGGAAUUCCUGGUGUAGCGGUGGAAUGCGCAGAUAUCAGGAGGAACACCGGUGGCGAAGGCGGCAUCCUGGACCGGUAUUGACGCUGAGGAGCGAAAGCCAGGGGAGCAAACGGG
rnacentral:rRNA from 1 species